AGAACGAACGCUGGCGGCGUGGAUAAGACAUGCAAGUCGAACGCGAUUUAUCGAGUUAGCAAUAACUUGGUAAAUUGAGUGGCGAAAGGGCGCGUAACACGUGGGAAAUUACCAAGAAGUGGGGGAUAGCUUGGCGAAAGCCAAAUUAAUACCGCAUAUGAUCGCAAGAUCAAAGCCGGGGACCGCAAGGCCUGGCGCUUUUUGAGAUGCCCGCGGCCCAUCAGCUAGUUGGUGAGGUAAAAGCUCACCAAGGCUAUGACGGGUAGCUGGUCUGAGAGGACGACCAGCCACACUGGAACUGAGACACGGUCCAGACACCUACGGGUGGCAGCAGUCGAGAAUUUUUCACAAU
rnacentral:rRNA from 1 species